UUUUUUCUUUUCUGAAACUUUCCUAUCCCCUCGCUUCUGUUCUGACUACUCGAGGAGAUCCCUGCACACAUUGCUACACCGAGCUGAGCUUCGUGAGAAAAUGGCGACGGCGGCCUCGGUGAUUGAGCUCGCGGCGGCGGCCUCGAAGGAGCUCGCGACGGCUUCCUCGGCGAUUGAGCUCGCGGCGCGGCCUCGACGGAGCUCGCGGCGGCGUCGUCGACGAAGCUCGCGACGCGGCCUCGGCGAUUGAGCUCGCGGGGCGGCCUCGACGGAGCUCGCUGCAGUGGCGGCGGCCUCGACGGAGCUUACGGCUGCGGCCUCGGAGAUUGAGCCUGCGCUGCAGCGUUGUCGAUUGAGCUCCCGACCACGGAAGUGCACUGUCGAUUGAGCUUCUCGGGGGCCAAAUCGUUGUGCGCUCGCCGCCUGGAUGCGGGAGAGGCCGUCGCUGCGGCAAGGAAGCGCACAAGGAGAGGGGGAGCGGGCGCUAGGUACUGACUGCAGGAGCAUGGAGCUCUGCUCGGCAUCGACGUGAAAGAUUGCAGAUUCAAGUUGUACCAGUACUAGAUACCUGUUGAAGAGAAUGUAGGAGGAGCUUCUUCCAUGCUGAAAGAAGAAUGCUGUUCUGGAUUGUAAUCCACGCAAAGGAAAUUUCUCACGGGGUGCUGGAAGAUCGCCUUCGGCAACUAGCCUGUGCGAGCGUGCCGGAAGAUCGCUUCUAGCCACUAGCUUGUUCUCAAUUUCUUUGAUCUCUAGGGCUGCAACUUCCGGCAAGAUUGGUACGAGAAACUAAUCACGUGGGAAGGAGAUUCUGGGAUGGUAUUGUUUGGCGGGUAGAAAAAAAUCUUUUAGCUAAGUUUAUGGAGAUUAACUGCAAUCAGGAAGGUACGUUGUGUUAUUUGAGAGGUGGGGCCUGCCAGGACAGGUGUCUCUUAUUUAUUGGACCUGCAGGAUAGUGCGUGCAGGGCUCCCUGCAGGAGAGCCGAACCCCUAAGAUAGAGAGACGAUAGAGUAUAGUGUUACGGUUGUGGUGGGGGCCGCGGGGCUAUGCGAGCCUUGGCACAGCUAGGGGGCGGGGAAUAGGGGAAAUAUGGAUCUAAAGGGGGGUAAAGGGGCGUUCUCAAUUUCCAAUUACCUGUAAUGUGAGUGAGAAAACAAAAUAACAACAAUUAGACGCGUCUCGCCCCCCCCCCCCCACAGAUCACAUUUUUGGUAUUUAGGUAUUUAACCGCCAAACUUAGUUUGGAUGUUUUUAUUGCCAUGGUAGCAUGUUGCUUCUGACAUUAGUGUGCAGCAAACAAGUCUGGAUAUUUUUACUGCCAUGCCUCUGAGCUCUGACUAUUUGAGCUGAUCAUUCCAAUGAGUUUGUGCAGCAGGUUUUUAAAUUUUGAUUCAGUUUUUCAGGGUUUGGUUUCAAAUUUUGAACUACUUUUGACCCCUGUUUUUGAUCAAUAUCCUGAGUUAUUGACCUAUAUACUCAUUUUAAUUUUGCGUCAUGAAGUGUUUUAUGAGCUGCUUAGAGGGGGUGCGUUAGAUUAAUGAUAACAACGAAAGGCUCGAGCAAGAGAUGAGGAUUAUUGUGCUGUUGUGAUUGUUCUGUUCGAGCGGUCCAAAAUACUUGCUAAAAAAUUGCUGCAUUUUUAUUAGUCUGAUCCAGAUGAGAUGAAGUCAUUUUGUAGUCAGUACUCGCUGGGUUAGGUAGUGGUUCCCUUGUUAGGCUUCUAUAUGAUAGUUCUUUAUGUUUAUUGUAAGAGAAGAAGUGCAAGGUAAAUUACCAGUUAUUUUAAUCUAUUGGCACCUGGUUUCUCUAUGACAAAAGUAACUUUCUGAUGCACACUAGCUUGGUGCUCUAACUGAUUGAAUGCUUAUGGGAAUUGUUGUGAAUAGUCAGAUCUGCGGUGAUCCAGGAAGGAGAAGGUCGGGACGAGAGUAGGUCGAGGACAGUGGACACAUCUAUUUUAGUGGAAUUGUCAAGAGAAGAUCUGUGGUGGUCGAGGAAGGAGAAGUGCGGGAUGAGAACGGAUUGAGGACAGCAGAUGUAUCAUUAUUUGAGUGGAAUUGGUCAUGAGAAGAUAGUACCAACUUCUUGGACUUCCGAGAUACUGACAUGACAUGAAUAGGAGGUUCUUUUCUCCAUCUCCAGCACCCUGGCAUCGCAUAUGUACAGUUCACGCCAACGGCUCCCUGUAUUGGUGAGUUCUUUGGAGCUGAUUAUGCCAAAAAAAAAUAUGUAUAUUUUGUCUUAAGCAUUUCCUUUAGAUUUAGCUAUGUAUCCUUCUGUAUCACUAUUUUCCUUCCUGACUAGAUAAAUUCAAAUAUAUUCAAAAUUUGACAUAUAGCAUAGAAAUGAGACAUGUUGUCGGGUUGCGAUCGCUGGAUUGCAGGUGUACAUGUCCGCCAUAACCAUGUUCCAAUCCCAAACCUUUAUUUGCACCCAUGGUUUUUGUACAUACGGAAUGCUAACAUCGCCGAACUGAUAAGUAUAGGUGCAGUACAAGUGUACAACGGAUUAGCUAGCAGGUAUUGUAAGUUAUAAGUUCUUGUGCUAAAAUUCCCAUUCCGGAAUGUUGCAUAGAUAAUUUUUAUUUCCCUCAUUAAUUCAUGCAAAUAGUACAACAUUCUAUAGAUGAACAUUUGUGAUUACACUGUAUAUUUAGACAUCUAUAUGAGAUUAUAUAAUUCCGCCCUUUCUUAUCC